UGGAGAAUCCUAUAAGCAGUU
rnacentral:piRNA from 1 species